GUAUCCGAUAUUUCAUAUCGAAAUUAGCAGAGAUUACGCAUUCUUCGCAAAAGCUAUGGCUUAACAUAAAUACUAAACGUAUAUUUUCAGAUUAUUAUGUAUAAUUUCGCUUGCUAAGAGCUGAAGAGAAGAAUUCCGAAAGCAGCGUACAAAUUUAAGAGAAAGCUGCAACAUUCGAAAGUGAAAUUUGAGCGUUGAAAUGAUUAUAAUUGAGUAACAAACAGAGAAACACAUCAAAUAACAACCAGCCUCUCGACCCACCACAGCAUCGAAACAGCGUAUACCAACCCAACGCCCAGCCAAAGCGACUUGAACAGCCGGCUAAUUAAGAAAUAAAAUAAAAAUAGAAAUCUAAGCGAAAAACUGCUGCCAUAUUUAUUCAUGCCAUAUUUAUUCAUGCACGUAGUUAUCUAUCUAGCAGUCGCUAUUGUGUCUCGCUUAUCUCAUUGGGUUCCACUAUUAUGGCGUUGGUCACGUUUUGGUCGCUCAUCGAUCAACUGUUUCGAUGCAUGUAACGAUCAGCUGUUUGCUUAACACGAGCUAGUGAUCAGACAGCUGUUGCCGUUUGCUGGCUAUGGCGACUGAACAUUUGAUCGCUUGUUGCUGGACGCCUAAUUGUUCAACUGAUGACUUUCAUUGGUGCUACUUGCGGUUCAGUGUGAUGUACGACCGUGGAUGAGUAAUUUGAAGAGGAAGUGGUCUAGAGGCGACAAAAUGCCAUGUAAAUUAUCAAAGUGCGCAAUAAAUAUAUGUUCGUAUUACAUGUAUUUUGUUAUGUGAUAGAUGUAGCUUAAUGCGUUUCAAUCGUACAUACUCGUACAUAUAUUGUUCGUAACAUACGGUUGCCAUAAGUACUUACAAAUGAGUCAUAUAAUUUUAAUGCCAUUAAAAUUUAAUUGUAAUAUGUA